GGGGCUGUAGCUCAGUCUGGUAGAGCGCCUCCAUGGCAUGGAGGAAGUCGUGGGUUCGAGUCCCAUCAGCUCCA
rnacentral:tRNA from 1 species